GCGCGCGGCGCCGCCGGUGGGGGCGCUCCCGGAGCGCCGGGAUCCGCCGGGAUCCGCCGGGAUCCGCCGGGAUCCCCGCCAGACUGCGGGCCCUGAGGCCGGGCAGGCAGCCGGAAUCGCCUCGCUCAAGGAAUGGAUGAGAUAAUCAAGAAAUUCUUCACACACAGAUGACAGCAACAAGAAACUAAAAUCCCAGAGAGAAGAAUUAUUGCCUCCUUAUUCAGGAAGAACCAGGCUUCUUCCACCUCCUUUCAGACUCCACGGAACCAAAUGAUUAUUUACAAGAUGAAGGGUGGGAGUCCACAAUAAACAGAAAAAUCCCUAGUUUGAAAGGAAUGUUUGCAUCAUGUGUGAGAUAUAUGAAUAUGUAACAGGCUAUUGCUUUUAAGGGUUAAUCUUUUGUUAGCGGACAUGCUUUUUUUAGGAAAGCAUCCGAACAUUCACAAUUUUCUGCUUUUUUAUUGUUCUUUAUUGUCCUAUCGCUGGUUGUCCGAAUUCUUAUUGCUGUAACUUGUAUUAUUAUUUUUAUAACCAUUUUAUUACUAUUAAACUUCUAAAAUUUUAAGACAAGGGAUUGGUGUUUUUCACAAACCUAGAUUUUCCCAGCACAACUUCAGGCCGUUCCCUUGGGAAUGUUCCCUCUGUCACCACAGAGAAGAGCUCAGUGCCUGCCCCACCUCUUCCCCUCAGUCUGUCACUGCAGUGGGGUCUCCCCUCAGGCUCCUGCAGGCUGAACAGGAUAGUGUAGGGAUAAAAUGUUUCCAGAACCUUGGGAAAAUGUUAGGCUUUACUGGAUCGUGCAAAACUGCACCUGUAUAAUCAUUUAAUGACCAUAAUAAAUGACAUGAUUGUUAUAUGAUAAAUUAUGUCAUUGUUAAAUGCAAUGAUUGUUUAAUAAUAGGAUAUAAUGAUUGUUUAAUCGUAACAAGCAUAAUGAGAAACUAUGUUUGGGGCGUUUGAUGGAAAUUACAAAAUCCAUGUUUGGAUGAAAUCAAUGUAUACAAUAGAACGAUAUAAGUUUAAUGUUACAGGUAAUAAAUUAUAAAGCGGAAUUAAUAAUCAAAAAAUAGGUUUUUCAUCACUUGGGUGUCUCCUGGGCUGUCCCAGGAAAGGGCCCAUCUCCACACAGAGGCACAUCUCGUUUGUUAAUUGGGUCUUUCUUUCUGCUGCCAUCUGUGGUUUUGCAGUUUGUGGAGCAACCUUUCCCUGGCUGCGGCUUGUGCUUUGAAAACUUUAAGAAUUUUUUUGACGAGCACAACUUAUUUAAUGUAUAUUUUACAUAAGCAUGAAUUAUUCCAUAACAUAUAUUACAUUUAAUAAUUAAUAUGUAGUUAUAUAAUGACAAGGGUAUGAAAACGUGUUCAUGUCGGAGCCAGAUUUGGGUCUGUACCCCUGACACCCAGAGCUCUUCAGUAAAAGCACCUGCAUGUAA